CCUGCUGAGGCUCCACCACCUGUAUGAGGUGGGGGAGGACCCGGUCCUGUCUCAGCCCGUGCGUGUGAACCUGGAGGUCGUGCUGCGGGGGCUGGGGUCCGUGGUGGCGGUGGAGGAGCGCUCGCUCACAGGGACCUGGGGUGUGAGCACGCUGCACCGCUGGAGCUGGAGCUGGAGGACACAAGAUCGUCCCCACCGCAGAGGCAGCUCCAGCUCUCACUCGACACCCCUGCAAGGCACCAAGGUCACCAUCUACCCGAAGGAAAUCCGGACGUUCUUCAUCCAC